rnacentral:rRNA from 1 species
CCUACGGGCGGCAGCAGUGAGGAAUAUUGGUCAAUGGACGAGAGUCUGAACCAGCCAAGUAGCGUGAAGGAUGACUGCCCUAUGGGUUGUAAACUUCUUUUAUAUGGGAAUAAAAUGUUCCACGUGUGGGAUUUUGUAUGUACCAUAUGAAUAAGGAUCGGCUAACUCCGUGCCAGCAGCCGCGGUAAUACGGAGGAUCCGAGCGUUAUCCGGAUUUAUUGGGUGUAAAGGGAGCGUAGGUGGAUUGUUAAGUCAGUUGUGAAAGUUUGCGGCUCAACCGUAAAAUUGCAGUUGAUACUGGCAGUCUUGAGUACAGUAGAGGUGAGCGGAAUUCGUGGUGUAGCGGUGAAAUGCUUAGAUAUCACGAAGAACUCCGAUUGCGAAGGCAGUUCACUGGACUGCAACUGACACUGAGGCUCGAAAGUGUGGGUAUCAAACAGGAUUAGAUACCCCUGUAGUC